rnacentral:rRNA from 1 species
UGCUCGAGUGGCGAACGGGUGAGUAACACGUGAGUAACCUGCCCUUGACUUUGGGAUAACUUCAGGAAACUGGGGCUAAUACCGGAUAGGAGCUCCUGCUGCAUGGUGGGGGUUGGAAAGUUUCGGCGGUUGGGGAUGGACUCGCGGCUUAUCAGCUUGUUGGUGGGGUAGUGGCCUACCAAGGCUUUGACGGGUAGCCGGCCUGAGAGGGUGACCGGCCACAUUGGGACUGAGAUACGGCCCAG